CAGAUGAAUCUGGGGGGCAAGGGGGACACAGUUCGGUCCACAAUGGGUAGAUCAUGCCAGGUCCUAAAUGCAAGAACAAAAGCUGCAAGGCCUCCUAGGACUUAGAUGGGGAAGUCAGGCAGCAUCACACCCACUAUAUUUUAUUAGUCAAAGCAGCCAACCCAGAUUCAAGCGACCAGGGAGAAACAGAUUCCAUCUCUUCGUGGGAGAAGGGGCAGAGCCACAUUUGCAAAAGGGUGUUUAGGAUGGAAGGGAUCGUGUGCCCAUCUUUGGAAGCAAGCAUCACAGAGCUUCAAGGAUGGUUUUUCCUUUGAUCUGAAAGCUUUUCCACAUCUUCCCAAUGAGUUUCUUCUUUGCUUAAGUGACCCAGUGUGGAUUUCUGUUCUAUCCAGUCAACGACCCCUCUCUCUGCUGGGGAUUCUGCAAGAGGUGAAUGAAGACAGGAAACUACCUCGUUAUGGCACUUCGAUGUACGAUGCACUGUUCUUUCUCUGCUGACGAGGAAAUGGAAGGAUGGAGUUUUUCA